UCGUUUUCAUUUCUUCUUCACCGCAGAGAAAAAUAGAGGCAAAGAGCAGUCUAGAGCAGAGGCAGAUAGCUCCAUUCUAUCACCAGAUUCAUCACCAGAUUCAUAUCCAUUUUCUUCUAUUCUUCUUCUUCAUCAUCUUAUAAUCAACUACUUCAGCACCAAACGGCCAUGCAACAUUCUACUUCAGCACCUUCGGAAGUGAAUCUUUGAUAUUUAAUGAUGUUCUUUUUUUGUUUUCUUAUUUCUGAACACUGGGUUUUUAUUAAUUUUAGUAAUUAAGGUUAAUAUGUGGGAGAAUUUGAUUGAUUUACUCGUUUUGUAUGUUUGAUAUUCAUGUUUUAGUGGUUGAAAUGAAAAUUUGUGCCUCUGAUUAUGUUACACAAUUAAGGGUCUUUCUCGAUUUUGAAGGUGAUUGUUGCAAUUGGUAAGAUUUCAUUUGAGAAACCUGCAUCCAAGAGAUCUAAGAAGCAAUAAAGUCUGACUUUUGGUUGGUUAGGUUUUGUAUUGGGUUUUCAAUUUUAUGUGAGGAAUUGAACAUACAUAUCAGGCUAUGUUGGUGUUAUGGAUUUGUGUUUAUUAAUUGCAGGAAGCAUCCAUCAUAGAUUCUAAUGGAGGGAAAGGAUAUGAAAAGAACUAGGUGUGCUAAAAUUGGGAGCUCCAAACAAGAUUGUUGCGCUGAAAUGACAAGCACUGGUUGUUGUAGCUCUUAUGGGAUUGAUUGAUUGAUUCAACUCAAAAGUUGGAGUUGAAGUGAUGUAUGAUGUUGUAUAUGCUCCUGGUGUUAUGGAUAUUGGGAGUAACAAGCUUUAUGUCUCUAAGGACUCUAUUGGAGUGGCAAGUGCAGUUGGAGACUUUGGAUGCCCGCCCUUUCAUGCCAUCAAGAACAACCAUCUUUACUAAAUCUGUUGGACUUUAUGUGUUAGUUAUUAGAUUUUUUGUUUUAGUUAUCUCUGUUGGAGUGUCCGAUGUAUUUGACAUUUUAAAACAAUUAGUUUUCACAGACAGGUUAAUUUAUAAUUUUCUGUCUUUAGUAAAA